rnacentral:tRNA from 1 species
GCCCUCAUCGUCUAGAGGCCUAGGACACCGCCCUUUCAAGGCGGCGGCACGGGUUCGAAUCCCGUUGGGGGCA